ensembl:lncRNA
UGUAAGAUGUUACAGAGGCUCGGGACGGCAAAAAUGUCCAUGUUCUGCUGUCCAGAAUCGGACCAUACAAGCUGUUUUAUUGGGACAUCUGUAGGAUAACUCCGGGUCAGGAACUUGAGAGUGAGGUGAUCAAUGCCACCCUGCUCAGAAUGGUCCAGAAGCACAAUUGCCAAGGGGGGAAAAAGGCACUUUGCAUUGAUACAUAUGCCAUGACACAAAUUUGGAACAGGAAGACUGCAAUUCUAAGGAAGUGUGAUCCAUCAUUGUAUGGAGUCAUUCUGGGGGUAGUGAAUGAGCCAAAUCAUUGGAUACUCACAGUCAUCUUCCCCUCAGAACAGAGGAGCCUUGUGCUGGAUCCACUCGGCAACGAUGCCUCCAAGAUCACAAGAUGUCUGGAGACCACAAGAGCAUUCAUGAGAGCGAGGGGCUGUACGGUGUCCAGGUGGAAAGCCAACACUGUGCCACAUAGCCUACAACAGGAUUCCACUUCAUGUGGAAUAUUUGCCAUCAAAUAUGCUGAGAAAGUCCUGGCAGAGGAGUCUCCUACUUUCCCAAACUCUGAAGGGGCAGUGGUUAAAUACAGGAGGGAAAUUGCUGUAGCACUUCUCAAUGAGACUGAUGAUCUCAGUGAGCUGUGCCACCACUGUGGAGAGGGAGAAGAAGCGCGAGGGGGGUCUCAAGACAGACCUGAUGCCACUGACUGGAUCCAGUGUGACACCUGUGGAAGGUGAUACCACGAGGGUUGUGUUGGGAGACCGGAUAGAGAUCCUAUGUACAGCUGUCCUGCAUGCCACCAGGCUCAAAUGAGUCGAUGCCGUCAAAACGGUCCAAAAAAAUAAAAUGUUGAUAACCAUGUCACAUGAUUAUCACGCCUUCCCGUGAGGAUGGACACUGGGG